rnacentral:rRNA from 1 species
UACGGAGGGGGUUAGCGUUGUUCGGAAUUACUGGGCGUAAAGCGUACGUAGGCGGAUUAGUAAGUUGGGGGUUAAAUCCCGGGGCUCAACCCCGGAACUGCCUCCAAAACUACUAGUCUUGAGAUCGUGAGAGGUGAGUGGAAUUCCGAGUGUAGAGGUGAAAUUCGUAGAUAUUCGGAGGAACAUCAGUGGCGAAGGCGACUUCCUGGCCUGUUCUUGACGCUGAGGCGCGAAAGCUAGGGUAGCAAACGGG